rnacentral:rRNA from 1 species
AGAGUUUGAUCCUGGCUCAGGACGAACGCUGGCGGCACGCUUAACACAUGCAAGUCGAACGGAGAACAUUGAGCUUGCUUAAUGUUCUUAGUGGCGGACGGGUGAGUAACACGUGAGUAACCUGCCUCUGAGAGUGGGAUAGCUUCUGGAAACGGAUGGUAAUACCGCAUAACAUCAUGGAUUCGCAUGUUUCUAUGAUCAAAGAUUUAUCGCUCAGAGAUGGACUCGCGUCUGAUUAGCUAGUUGGUAAGGUAACGGCUUACCAAGGCGACGAUCAGUAGCCGACCUGAGAGGGUGACCGGCCACAUUGGGACUGAGACACGGCCCAAACUCCUACGGGAGGCAGCAGUGGGGAAUAUUGCACAAUGGGGGAAACCCUGAUGCAGCGACGCCGCGUGAGCGAUGAAGUAUUUCGGUAUGUAAAGCUCUAUCAGCAGGGAAGAAAAUGACGGUACCUGACUAAGAAGCCCCGGCUAACUACGUGCCAGCAGCCGCGGUAAUACGUAGGGGGCAAGCGUUAUCCGGAUUUACUGGGUGUAAAGGGAGCGUAGACGGUAAAGCAAGUCUGAAGUGAAAGCCCGGGGCUCAACCCCGGGACUGCUUUGGAAACUGUUUAACUAGAGUGCUGGAGAGGUAAGCGGAAUUCCUAGUGUAGCGGUGAAAUGCGUAGAUAUUAGGAGGAACACCAGUGGCGAAGGCGGCUUACUGGACGGUAACUGACGUUGAGGCUCGAAAGCGUGGGGAGCAAACAGGAUUAGAUACCCUGGUAGUCCACGCCGUAAACG